GCUGUGGCUCUCUCGCCUUCUGAAGGUGGUGAUGCCGCUGUUCUCCUUUGUGAUGCGGGCAUCCCUGGCCUGGCCACUGGAGGAGUCCCAGGGUACCUGGAAAUGCUCUUCUUGCCUUGCCGUGCCCCUGUGCAGGACACACACCUACGCGCUACAGCACGAAGACAGGGUGUGUGUGGGGCUGCCUUCUCCAGAGGACGUCCUGACUUGUGACCACCACACAGACCCAUCAGAGGCGGAGCAGCUGCCUCCAACGCAGGGCUCAGGCCAACUCGCCAAUUCCCUUGCGGCUCAGCACUCGGUGAUCUAAGAGGAGGAUCCCCCGGGGGACGGGCUCCUGAGAAUCCGGCGUGGGCCCGUCCAUAGCCCUGAAUAACCUGUGGUGCAGGUUGCGGCAGGAGAGAACACAGAUGUGCUUAGGGAACGUCAAUAAUUCCAUUCCACGGAGCCCUCCAUCCAAGAAGAUACAUAGUCUUAAUCUCUAAGGACCAGCAUGACCGGCUGGUUGAGGUUUCUCAGAAGAUACUCCCCGACAGCCGGUCCACCACAGGACCCACAUUGAGGUGCAGCUGACCACUACAACCAGUACAAUUAGUCCAGUUUCAUGGGUGGACUCUCCAGUCCUCACUGCAAGGCACUUUAAAGGUGGACCUGAGAAAUGUC